rnacentral:rRNA from 1 species
CAGCCCUAAACGAUGCGCGUUAGGUGUAUCGGUGACCACGAGUCACCGAGGUGCCGAAGGGAAACCGUGAAACGUGCCGCCUGGGAAGUACGGUCGCAAGGCUGAAACUUAAAGGAAUUGGCGGGGGAGCACAACAACGGGUGGAGCUUGCGGUUUAAUUGGAUUCAACGCCGGAAAUCUUACCAGGGAAGACUGUUACAUGAAGGCCGAGAUGAAGACUCUGCUAGAUUUUCAGAGAGGAGGUGCAUGGCGUCAGUGACU